CACUCUGGUGGCCUAGUGGUUAGAGCAUCUGCCUCAGAUGCAGGAGAUCAUGGGUUCAAUCCCUGGUUGAGUCA